rnacentral:lncRNA from 1 species
AUAUCUUUAAGAAAAAGAUGUGAUCAAUAGCGAACUGAAAGAUGCUUCAACCAAAUAAACUUGAACAUUUUUCAACAAAUGCAAAAAAAUAUAAAGUCAAAACACACAUAAAGUACAAAUAUUUGUGUUUUUAACAAAACUUCAGUUUAGUAAUGGCCUCAAAACUGCUCAUAAGCAAACGUAAAUAAUAAAGACAUCAUUUUUAGGGGGGGAAUGAGAAAGUAUGUAAUCUGGAAACCUGGAUAAACUAGUAAAGGACAUAUUUUUAAGAGAAAAAAAUAUAAAAAUAUAAAAUGGAAACCUAGAGAAAGCAUUAAAACCCUCAUUCUAGAUCAAUAGGGACCUUCAUCUUGUUUUCAAUGUUAUGAAAGGAAUGUAAAUCCAUAUUUCACUUGGAACACUUUUGGUAAUACCAAAAUUGAGCAAAAAAAGGGAAAGAUGAGUUUUGGCAUUUCAAGAAUCGAAAGUACAAAAACAAUGCUACCUUCAUAUGAUAGUGGUAGAUGAAAAUACCAAGUAUGAGAAAUGAAGGGGUUAUUACCAAGUAUGAGAAAUGAGA